UGGGGAAUAUUGGACAAUGGGGGCAACCCUGAUCCAGCAAUGCCGCGUGUGUGAAGACGGCCUGCGGGUUGUAAAGCACUUUCAGCCGAGAGGAAAGUAUUCGUGUUAAUAGCAUGGAUAUUUGACGUGAACGGUAGAAGAAGCACCGGCUAACUCUGUGCCAGCAGCCGCGGUAAUACAGAGGGUGCGAGCGUUAAUCGGAAUUACUGGGCGUAAAGCGUGCGUAGGCGGUUGACUCAGUCGGAUGUGAAAGCCCCGUGCUUAACAUGGGAACUGCAUUCGAUACUAGUUGACUCGAGUACAGAAGAGGAUAGUGGAAUUCCCGGUGUAGCGGUGAAAUGCGUAGAGAUCGGGAGGAACACCAGUGGCGAAGGCGACUGUCUGGUCUGAUACUGACGCUGAGGUACGAAAGCGUGGGGAGCAAACAGGAUUAGAUACCCCCGUAGUCC
rnacentral:rRNA from 1 species